UACGUAGGGUGCAAGCGUUGUCCGGAAUUAUUGGGCGUAAAGAGCUCGUAGGCGGUUCGUCGCGUCGGCUGUGAAAACCCGGAGCUCAACUCCGGGCCUGCAGUCGAUACGGGCGGACUCGAGUUCGGCAGGGGAGACUGGAAUUCCUGGUGUAGCGGUGAAAUGCGCAGAUAUCAGGAGGAACACCGGUGGCGAAGGCGGGUCUCUGGGCCGAUACUGACGCUGAGGAGCGCAAGCGUGGGGAGCGAACAGG
rnacentral:rRNA from 1 species